rnacentral:rRNA from 1 species
UCGGGAAUUUUGGGCAAUGGGCGAAAGCCUGACCCAGCAACGCCGCGUGAGGGAUGAAGUAUUUCGGUAUGUAAACCUCGAAAGAAUGGGAAGAAUAAAUGACGGUACCAUUUAUAGGCUCCGGCUAACUACGUGCCAGCAGCCGCGGUAAUACGUAGGGAGCAAGCGUUGUUCGGAUUUACUGGGCGUAAAGGGCGCGUAGGCGGCGCGGUAAGUCACUUGUGAAAUCUCUGAGCUUAACUCAGAACGGCCAAGUGAUACUGCUGUGCUAGAGUGCGGAAGAGGCAACCGGAAUUCUUGGUGUAGCGGUGAAAUGCGUAGAUAUCAAGAGGAACACCUGAGGCGAAGGCGGGUUGCUGGGCCGACACUGACGCUGAUGCGCGAAAGCCAGGGGAGCAAACG